CUCGCCCGCCCAUCGCCUCUCAACGUCCGCCAUGGAAAGUCAUGGAUGUUCGCUGCUCUCAAGAUAUCGUGGCUUUCUGGCCCACGUGACGAACAUAGGGAUCCAAUGAACAGAAUAUGGAUAGAUUUGUGUCUGAACUUUAUGAAGAUGAGGUUAAUGGAAGCUAAUGCUGGUACUUUGAUUACAAUGGGAGGCUGAACUUCUGAUUUGAGAAAUAGCUUUGUAGCUGAGUGUUGAAGGGCAGAAAUGAAGUCCUCUAAUCUGGCAGCCUAAUAGGUAUUGAGGCUGGCCUUCAGCGGUCAAAUUACUUGGAUGUGCUUGGAAAAGGAAUUGAGGCUGCCUUUCAACAGAGUGACUUGGAUGUGCUUGCAAAAGAGAUCCUAAGGCUGGAUUUAAACAGUGAGAGUUGGAUGCACCCAUAAAAGAGUUAUGAUAGAAGAUAGCCUUUCUGGAUAAAGGCUCUCCUACAAAAGAGCUUGAAGGACUGCAAGAAUGGAAUACUGGGAGGUGAAGGUGAAUAUUCCUGCCAGCCAACAUCUGUGGAGAAAGUGCAAUAAAAACUUUUUGAAAGAC